AUUGGUUGGCUAUUAAAAACGAAUAGAAAUAAUGUGACGCUUGAAUAAACUGUGUUCAUUGUUCCCAGCCAUAGUGUAUAGAUUUCAACAGAUUACAGAUUCUAAACUCUAAACUAAAGUAAUUAUGAAGUCCAUUUUUUGUGUCAAGAGUGCGAUACAGGAUCAUCAUUGCCAUCUAGAAAGGAGAUUGGUUUCCAAAAUAAUUGGAUCCACCUCCAGUGUAAAUUAGACACACCAGACAGACUAAAUGAGUGAUAUUUGACACAAAGGUACCCAGAAGGUACAGUGGGUCAUGAGUGGUCAAAUUGAGGAAAACCGGUUGUAGAUUAAAUUACAGCUCUUAGACUUUAACCCUGUCAGUUCAGGUCAUGACAUUUAUUCAACCCAGGUCUGUUGACACGCUUCAGAUUAAGUAUUAUUUGAAGCAGAUUCAACGGGGAAGUGGAUACUUUGUAAUCUUUAUUUUAUGAACUGUACUGCACAUUUUAUUCUAGUUUAACAUUGUUUAUGGUUUAAAUAUAUUUUACUUAAUUGUUUUUAGACUUCCUUUUCUUUUGCCUGAUGUUUUGAUGGUUCUAAAUGUCUUCAUGUGAAAUGUGCUAUACUAAAAUAAUUGCCCUUGCCUUAGUAAACUUUGUAUGUACACAUACAACAUACAUGUCACACACUUACAUAUUUUAAUGGAAAUGUCUCAGAUAAAAGAAUACAAGUCAGACGUGACAUUUUGUAAUGCCUGGGGAUAAAAAAAUAGAUAAAAAAUAAACAAUAAUUGUGAAAAAACGUUUAAAUUCCUACAUGUAACAAUUUGCUCUACUUCGUGGAUAGAUAAAAUUAUAAGAGUCUGUAUUGUAAAUUAAUCUGUACCGAACAGAUGUUAACGUUAGCCGAGCUAGAUAACAGCUAGCACAGCUUCAUGAAGGUUUGAAGAGCUCACCUUGUCAAGAGUGUCGAUUGAUUAAAUAAUUAUCACAUCCCAAUAUGUAAUAUUCCAAAGUGGCUCUAAAAAAAUCAUAUCUGAGCCUUAAUGGUCACAGAACACUCCGUGGUAUCUGACAGCCUCUACUUUCCUUCCACUUUGACAAUAUUGAUCUCUUGAUUCCGCAGAGAGUGGUGAGAGUCCAUCACUGGCUGGAUAGACACACAGUCCUGGAGGGUGCUAGAACAGCUGCUUGGGAAAUUAGUAGUUUUACUCUCUGAUCCCCUGAAAGUCUGACAAUGAGGCUGGCUGUAUGCAGAAACAUAGGAUUGUGUGUAGGGUUGCAUCAGUGUUUGGCUGUUUUGCUGUGGGUAAGCAGCUGCAUAUGGUUGUGUGCGGGGGGGAGUCGGCAUAAGUGGGAGGUUCUCAGCAUUGCUACCCGUUGGAAACCCAUUCAUAUUUGAAGGGCUGAGUCCUGGCACUUUAAAGGCCUCUACAUUUUCUAAACUCUCCAAGGAGCGGAAGCCUGGCUCAGUUUGGCUGCACUGGGUGUAUGUGCCUUGACUAAAGUUGAAAGUGUCCUGGUUGAAAGAGGUAGAUGCUGUAGCUGUCGGCAAUCCAGAUGGCGAUGGAGUUUUGUUGUGCUGCUGUUGAACAACGCUACAACGUCCUAAAUUGGUGGCGAGGGUCUGUAGAGUGCUGAGGAUCUGCUUCUGAAUGUGUGUUUGCUGCGCCUGCUCCCUCUCCAGGCAGCCCUGCUGCUCCACCAGCAUCCUCACUGCCAGACCCAAGCUCCGCACCUCAGAUCCCAGGGUCUGAAUUUGAUCCUGUAGACCACCUCUACAGUCCUGGACUGCCUGCUGGGGGCUCGGGUUCCCAUCACUACGAGUGGCGCCCUGGCCUCCAGGGGUCUGUAAGCGGAUAACAGCAACCCCAGGGGCCGAGAAUGGUAAAGCUGCUGGUGACCGGUUAGGAAGACGAACGCCAACCUGAGGAAUUGAGUGGAGAGAGCUGCCGGACAGACAUUGUCUGCGUUUAAGCAAACGCCUGGGGGGGUUGACUCCACCAGAUUGACCUUCAACAGCAUUCUGUGCAACAUAACAGAAAUAUUAUAAAAACAGUGGUGAAAAAUGUAAAAAGUUAUAAUGCAUUUUUAAUAAAAUGACACAGAAUCUUAAGUAAGUCAGGUUCCUAAGAUCAGGUGAGGACAUAUGCUGGAAUACUACCAGGUGCCAGCAACAGCUGUAAAAUAUUAACAAUACCUUAUUUGGCCCGGUUAUAAAAGGUGACUGACAUCCGCCAUUGUUAAGUGAAGGCACACACUUUAGCUAAGGUAAAUAAAGACGGAGAUCGGAUUUUCUCUUUCCUCACCUUUUCAGUGGUCAGAUCGUAAGUUUCAGGUGGUUGGGGCAUUGCACCUCUCAAAUUAGCAGCUUGGACCCGAGUGUGAUCUCUUCUUAGCAUUGGCGCGAACUGGUGGAGUGACUGUUGGAAGCAAUGUGUGCAAGUGAAGCUUGUCAGAUGAUCUGAUGCUUUUGGAAUUUCCGUCCGCAUACAGGUCUUGGCUAUAACAAGUUAUAAAAUGAACAAUUGGAAUUGCGUAAAAUUGGGAGAAAUUGUGUCUAAGUAGCUACCUUCAUCCUGUGUGACAGAGCCUUAUCCAAAAGCCUCUUUCGGGCUGCCAGCAUGGAAUUGGUGGCUGGAGAGGGUGUAGCUCUCCUCCUCAUGACUCCAGAGACUGUAAGCGUGGUAGACAAGGGACUGGCCUCUGCUGUCGUUAAUGUGGGGGCAACUCUUGGUUGGCUGCUCUGUGCAAGGGAGGUGACACUUACAAUCUGGAUGUCAUUUUCUUCCUUAUCUUCGGUUUGGUGCUGUUCUGGCCGGCUGCCUCCACAAGUCUCGCCAGACGUAGAUGGCUUUACUCCAGUAUCUGGAUUUGUGGACGCAUGUUUGGAAAAAUGGGCAGCUGCUCCAAAUCCAGAAUGGUGUGAUGCUUCUCGCAGAAAAUUUUGGAUUUGAAUAUUAUUCCAGCUCUCUUGCAUUGCCCCGGAUUGAGGCUGCACUUGUGCGGGAGAUGUGCGGUUUCCGGCAUCCAUGGGUCUGACCCUCCCAGGCGGCCGCCCUUGAAAGUCCUUCAGGAACAUAUAGAUGGCCUGGGCGGACACCUUGAUGUUCUCCAGCUCCAGCACAGCUUGGAUCUUACGGAAACUCAGACCAGUCCUCCGCAGUUCCACCACUUUGAGUUUGGCGGCAUCAUCCAGCCGGCCCAUAGUCUCUAUUGUAGAGGGACUCUGUGAGUUUGGCGGUUGAUCUAUAAAAGAACAUGUAGAUGAAAAGGAACAAAAGUAGUCUGUGAUUAUUACUGGGGAAUAAAGAAUGUGUGCUGCCAAUGUGGACUA
ensembl:lncRNA